rnacentral:rRNA from 1 species
AGAGUUUUGAUCAUGGCUCAGAGUGAACGCUGGCGGCAGGCCUAAUACAUGCAAGUCGAACGGCAGCACAGCAGAGCUUGCUCUGUGGGUGACGAGUGGCGGACGGGUGAGGAAUACGUGGGAAUCUGCCCAGUCGUGGGGGAUAACGUAGGGAAACUUACGCUAAUACCGCAUGCGCCCUUCGGGGAAAGCCGGGGACCUUCGGGCCUGGCGCGAUUGGAUGAGCCCACGUCGGAUUAGCUAGUUGGCGGGGUAAAGGCCCACCAAGGCGACGAUCCGUAGCUGGUCUGAGAGGAUGAUCAGCCACACUGGAACUGAGACACGGUCCAGACUCCUACGGGAGGCAGCAGUAGGGAAUAUUUGGACAAUGGGCGCAAGCCUGAUCCAGCCAUGCCGCGUGAGUGAAGAAGGCCCUCGGGUUGUAAAGCUCUUUUGUCCGGAAAGAAAAGCGCCGGGUUAAUACCCUGGUGUCCUGACGGUACCGGAAGAAUAAGCACCGGCUAACUUCGUG